GAUGAACGCUGGCUACAGGCUUAACACAUGCAAGUCGAGGGGAAACGACGGGGAAGCUUGCUUCCCCGGGCGUCGACCGGCGCACGGGUGAGUAACGCGUAUCCAACCUGCCUCUGACUGAGGGAUAACCCGUCGAAAGUCGGCCUAAUACCUCAUGGCAUCGUCUGCGGGCAUCCAACGACGAUUAAAGAUUUCAUCGGUCAGAGAUGGGGAUGCGUCUGAUUAGCUUGUUGGCGGGGUAACGGCCCACCAAGGCGACGAUCAGUAGGGGUUCUGAGAGGAAGGUCCCCCACAUUGGAACUGAGACACAGUCCAAACUCCUACGGGAGGCAGCAGUGAGGAAUAUUGGGCAAUGGGCGAGAGCCUGAACCAGCCAAGUAGCGUGCAGGAUGACGGCCCUAUGGGUUGUAAACUGCUUUUAUGCGGGGAUAAAGUGAGGGACGUGUCCUUCAUUGCAGGUACCGCAUGAAUAAGGACCGGCUAAUUCCGUG
rnacentral:rRNA from 1 species